GAUGAAGAACGCAGCGAAAUGCGAUACGUAAUGUGAAUUGCAGAAUUCCGUGAAUCAUCGAAUCUUUGAACGCACAUUGCGCCCGCCAGCAUUCUGGCGGGCAUGCCUGUUCGAGCGUCAUUUCAACCCUCGACGUCCCCUGGGACGUCGGCCUUGGGGACCGGCAGCACCCCGCCGGCCCUGAAAUGGAGUGGCGGCCCGUCCGUGGCGACCUCUGCGCAGUACAACCACUCGCACCGGGAACCCGACGCGGCCCGCCGUGAAACCCCCAACCUCUGAACGUUGACCUCGGAUCAGGUAGGACUACCCGCUGAACUUAAGCAUAUCAAUAAGCGGAGGA
rnacentral:misc_RNA from 1 species